UCCCGGUUGGCCCGGGCAGUCUCGUCUGAAAAAUACAACAGACGACAAGGGUUUCGCUCGUUAAUGGACUUAACCAAACAUCUCACGACACGAGCUGAGGACGGCCAUGCAACACCUGUCACUGGGUUCCCGAAGGCACUCCGCCAUUUCUGGCAGAUUCCCAGGAUGUCAAGCCCCGGUAAGGUUCUUCGCGUGUCAUCGAAUUAAACCACAUACUCCACUGCUUGUGCGACUCCCCGUCAAUUCCUUUGAGUUUUAAGCUUGCGCUCGUACUCCCCAGGCGGCAGGCUUAACGCGUUAGCUUCUCAGCCCAAGGGGUCGAUCCCCGAACUAAUAGCCUGCAUCGUUUACGGCGUGGACUAC
rnacentral:misc_RNA from 1 species